rnacentral:rRNA from 1 species
UACGAAAGGGGCUAGCGUUGUUCGGAAUUACUGGGCGUAAAGCGCACGUAGGCGGCAUUGUAAGAUGGGGGUGAAAUCCCCGGGCUCAACCCGGGAAUUGCCUUCAUGACUGCAAAGCUCGAGGAUGCGAGAGGUGAAUGGAAUUCCGAGUGUAGAGGUGAAAUUCGUAGAUAUUCGGAAGAACACCAGUGGCGAAGGCGAUUCACUGGCGCAUUUCUGACGCUGAGGUGCGAAAGCGUGGGGAGCAAACAGG